rnacentral:misc_RNA from 1 species
AUUUUCUAAAGCUGCUUUUGCAUCAAAUCCUGGACCAUCUUGUUGAAGAAUUUCAAGAAUCAUACUAGCCUCAUUUCUCACUUUCUCAAUAAAAUUGUGCCUACUUGAAAAAUUUUGUUGGGAAUGGCCUUCAUAGAAACCGUUGACUCCAAAAAAGUCAACAUUAUCUUUCAUAUUAUUAUUGGAGUUCAUACUCUUCCAGCUCUCAUUCAAGUAAUCCUCGAUUCUUCCAAAACCAUUUCCAGUGCUG